rnacentral:tRNA from 1 species
GUGUGUUUAGCUCAGAGGUAUUAGAGCAGCUCUCGUGAAUGUAGAAGGUCGUGGGUUCAAAUCCCACAACACACA